rnacentral:rRNA from 1 species
AUUGAACGCUGGCGGUAGGCUUUACACAUGCAAGUCGAACGGCAACGAGGAAAAGCUUGCUUCUCUCUCGGCGCGUGGCGAACGGGGGAGAGUAGCAUAGGGACAUCUCAAGUAUUGGGGGAGAUCCAGAAGGAAGACUGGCGAAUACAGCGCAUACGACAAGCGGGAAAGUGCAGGGGAUAAAUGAACCCUUCGGGUAUUUGAUCGGCGGAUGUCGGAUUAGCUAGUUGGUGGGGUAAUGGCCCACCAAGGCAACGAUCCGUAGCGGGUCUGAGAGGAUGAUCCGCCACACUGGGACUGAGACACGGCCCAGACUCCUACGGGAGGCAGCAGUGGGGAAUUUUGGACAAUGGGGGAAAGCCUGAUCCAGCCAUGCCGCGUGGAUGAAGAAGGCCUUAGGGUUGUAAAGUACUUUUGUUAGGGAAGAAAAGCUAGUGUUUAAUAAACAGUAGUGAUGACGGUACCUAAAGAAUAAGCACCGGCUAACUACGUG